CCAAUUUUGAAAGGCAACAAGUUGCAUUAUUUCUUUUUUGUGUCAUACUGCAAUAAAUAUGCAGUGGUUUUAUUGUUGGCUUAUUAUUUUCUACUGUAGCUUCUACUGACCUGUAUGUCAUUGGCAGGAUUCCAGUCUAUAUCAUAUAAAACGAGGUGAGAGGCACCGAUGAGGUUUAGUCCCACUCCUCCAGCUUUGGAGCUGAGCAGCAGUAGAAAGCUGGACGAAUGUGGGCUGUUGAAGGAAUCAACAAUUUUCUGCCGCUGGCCAACUGGUGUCUGUCCAUCAAGACGACACCAUUUAUAGCCUAUCUGAUCACAGACGUCCUGGAGUAAGUCAAGAGUCUGUGUGUGGUUGGACACCAAAACAACCCUAGGGAGAAAAAGACAGAAGAAACUGGACAUAAGACUGAUAAUAAAGCGAUGACCUUCGUCACAGAUGAGGACUCCAAAAUCCAGUUCUUUCAGCCGGUCCACAGAGCGCAACAACAUCUCAUAGCUGAUGACCAGGACGGAGCAAAGAGGAGAAGAAACAAAGUCUUCCACACGCCACUUGUUGAACUCAGCAGCCCAGUUCUUCACCAAACUUCCAGGACAAACCACAAGUGCUCUUUUCAUUACGGGACGUCCACCAUAGGGCCCCUGCCUGAGUAAUGUCCACAAAACACAAACACACUGCAGAGUUUUCCCCAAUCCCAUCUCAUCUGCUAGAAUCGCCCCACAGCGGCCAGCCAAUCUGCGAAAACACAAACAUGUGUGUAAACAAAGACGAGCAUAUGAAGAACAUAGCAACAACCGAUCAACUCUUAUUUACCUCAUUCCCAUUAAGCAUUCGUAAAGGAAGACCACGCCCUCUUUCUGAUGUGGCCGAAGGUGAUUGGUCAAGUGAGGGUCGAUGACCACGUCAACCAGUGGAGCUCCAGAUUUAUUAUACUGCCACUGGUGAUCUGCUGUAGGCCGUGGCAUCACCAGGGCUCCU
rnacentral:lncRNA from 1 species